rnacentral:lncRNA from 10 species
CAGGGAGCCACACAAACUGCUUUGUCAAAUGACUGCUGGGACAGCCGGCACCCUUGUGGAAUGAGUGCGCCGCUCGCAGGACUCCCAGCGGUUCCUUCCUUCACCUGCCCUGCAGUGUGGGACCGUCUGAAGAUGACUCCCAGCAUUGCCGUGUAUGCAUCAGGGCACCUGGCGUGUCCCCGCUCCAUUUUUAUAGAGACAUAGAAGCAUCUUCAUUAAUGCUAGAGGAGAGAGCAACCUGGCCUUCAGAACUCAUAUCAUCAUGCUCUCUCUGUCCUCCUCGAAAAUGAGCCCGAAAACAAAACAAGUGGGUCCGAAAGCAAGGGGCGGGAGCUGCAUCCAGCCAAAGCCCAGCCUCUCCCUGAAGCCGCCUGGCCUGAUGGUGUCCCCUCUUCUUCCGGUGCCUACAGCGGAGCCCUCAGGACCGAGACCUGGGCCCAUCCUGCCUUCUGAGAGACUUCACCAGGAUCAGGCUGUGUCCAACGCACAACACGGUGUUAUUCACACAGUAAGUCAUCAAUUCCUGCUGAUGUUACUUAUGACGAGGUAUGAGGACUAGGGAGAGAUUUCCUUCUAUCUGUUCCGUACAGAAUGCUGUUUCAUAAAAAGCCUCGACUGAAGAGGACAGUCCAUC